rnacentral:tRNA from 3 species
GGGUAGGUGGCGGAGCGGUCAAACGCAACAGACUGUAAAUCUGUCGGCCCUAGGCCUACGGGGGUUCGAAUCCCUCCCUGCCCACCC